AUAGCGACAGUGUAGUAUACGCUUAUGUAUAUGUCAUAUACACACACUUAAAUAUAAGUGAAAUGAAGGAGAGCAGUGAUGCCCAAGGGAUGGAGGGAUAGGAGAGAGCAAUUAGGAAUUAGGAUUAUUUUGUUAUUAUAGUGUGCUUGCAUUAUCAAGAAACCAGUGUAGUGUCGUUUGAAAGUGGACUUGGGUUACUUGUAAAUUUAUAUUGCAAAUUCCAAGGCAGCCACUUUAAAAAAAAAAAAAA